CCAAUUUGUGUUCUGGCUGUUCCACUUCCCUUUCAAUUCCCUGCUUGUGGCCUGAGAAAGCAGUAGAGGAUUGCACAAAGCCUCAGGACCUUGUGCGCAUGUGGGAGACGCUGAAGAAGCUCCAGGCUCCUGGCUUCAGAUCGGCUCAGGUCCGGCCAUUGAGGCUAUUUGAUGAAGUAGGGGGAAAAAAAGGGCAAAGAGAGCAUCUCUCCCUCAGAACUCCACUUUACACAAAAGCUCCGGCCAACACUCCAUGUGAAGGAGAGUGCAUUCUGCCAGCCAACCAAAAAUCUGGGCAGACGCACACAGUCCAGAGGACCAAGCACACUUCCAGUCCUGCUGUUGCACCUCAUUCCUGGUGAAGUUUCUGAGAGCUGCCUCAGUUUCCCUUCUGUUCACCUGAAUGCAAAAUAUGUAAAACCAGUUCCGUAUAAGCAGAGAUCGCCUGCCUGGGGCCCCGGAUUCUGGGCCUACCACUGCAUCCACAGCUCUGAGGAAGCCAGGAUUGCUGAGAGCUAGACCAGAGCCACGGCACGAAGGGAGGCUAGCCUCCACUUACCUUCUCCAUGUGCCACUCUGAUAAUUGUGGGGACAAAAGCGAAAAAACAAGA